rnacentral:rRNA from 1 species
GUUCAGCCGCCGCGGUAAUACGGAGGGUGCAAGCGUUAAUCGGAAUUACUGGGCGUAAAGCGCAUGCAGGUGGUUUGUUAAGUCAGAUGUGAAAGCCCGGGGCUCAACCUCGGAAUUGCAUUUGAAACUGGCAGGCUAGAGUACUGUAGAGGGGGGUAGAAUUUCAGGUGUAGCGGUGAAAUGCGUAGAGAUCUGAAGGAAUACCGGUGGCGAAGGCGGCCCCCUGGACAGAUACUGACACUCAGGUGCGAAAGCGUGGGGAGCAAACAGGAUUAGAUACCCCUGUAGUCC